CAGUCGCCGCGGUAAUACGUAGGUGGCAAGCGUUGUCCGGAAUUAUUGGGCGUAAAGGGCUCGCAGGCGGUUUCUUAAGUCUGAUGUGAAAGCCCCCGGCUCAACCGGGGAGGGUCAUUGGAAACUGGGAAACUUGAGUGCAGAAGAGGAGAGUGGAAUUCCACGUGUAGCGGUGAAAUGCGUAGAGAUGUGGAGGAACACCAGUGGCGAAGGCGACUCUCUGGUCUGUAACUGACGCUGAGGAGCGAAAGCGUGGGGAGCGAACAGGAUUAGAUACCCGGGUAGUCCCUGUCUCUUAUAC
rnacentral:rRNA from 1 species